GAUGAACGCUGGCGGCGUGCCUAAUACAUGCAAGUCGAGCGGACAGACGCGGCUCUUGCUCCUCUCACGUUAGCCGCGCACGUGUGAGUCACACGUGUAUCCCCUCCCUAUCAUUCUGAUAUCACUACGGAACUCCGGCGAUUACACCAUAUAAUAUAUUGCACCGCAUGGUUCAAUGGAGAAAGACGGUUUUGCUGUAUCUACUCGCUGCUUCCGCGCCGCUUUAGCUAGUUGUUACGUUAACGGCUUACCACGGCAACUAUGCGUAGCCGACGUGUGAGAGUGAUAGGCCACACUGGAACGGAGACACGGUCCAGACUCCUACGGGAGGCAGCAGUAGGGAAUGUUACGCAAUGGGCGAAAGCCUGACGGAGCGACGCGGCGUGAGUGAUGAAGGUCUUCGGAGCGUAAAGCUCGGUUAUUAGGGAAGAACAGAUGUGUAAGGAACUAUGCACGUAUUGACGGUAACUAGUCAGAAAGCCACGGCUAACUACGUG
rnacentral:rRNA from 1 species